UUUCUGUUUUGACAAAUGCAUAAUUUUAGGAUUACGCAUAGGUUCGCCGCACAUGCGCAUUCGCACAUAAAACUAAACUUGAGCAGAGACCACGCGGCAUCAACCGACCUGGACCUGUUCCUGCGCCAGAGAGAGACUGAUAGCAUCAUAUCCACAUUUUACGGAUUAUAUUCUGCUAGGAUAUCAUCGCAUUCCUCUAUCAUCGGUGGAAAGAUCUCUUCAGCCACGACCUUAUCAUCGCUGCUGUUAAGGUAUCUGAUGAAUGUGGAGGUGCAAGGACUGUGACUAUUCAUGUACCAGAAGAUCUGAAUUGCUUAAGCAUUAUAGACUAGAUCAUCAACAUUAUGGAAGGCACCAUCCUUACCUCUGUCUAUAUGAAAA